rnacentral:lncRNA from 1 species
AUGGAAAAUGUUUGCAGCUGCGCUCAGUCAACUCGGUCUUGUGACCCGACUCAUUCUGCUACAGGCCACACUCGUCAGCUGGUACGCAGUUUUUGGCUCGGGGCCAAGGAAGUGGGGGUCAAUGGAUGGCUGCAACUAGAUGAGAGGAGGAAGAACGAAGUCUGGAAUACGUUCGAAUAUAUAUGGAAGAACAAAGGAAACCACGGCCUGCGGUGGACGCAUUGGGACAGGCCACGACCCGAGACAGGAAUAUGGACCUAAACGUCAUCUAGGCCAUCUUGACUGUGCUGCUGCUGAGCGUCACCCACGUCCCUUCUCCCCUGGUAAGGCCUGCCGUCCUCAACACUGCUGAGUUUUAUAGAGGAUCGUAUUUUAUAUGUAAUUCACGUAAUAUGUAUUUUUUUCUACAUAUUGCGUGAAUUGCUUAACUAAAUUUAAAGAACAGAGGAAAGACAAAACAUUGCAGUAUAAUGGUAUUAAUUAUAUUUCAAUUAAUUAAAUCUAUUAAAACAAAUAACCAUGAUGGUGGUUUUUCCAUCUUUUCAUUCCUCUGAAAAAUGUAAAUGCUGGUAAAUCUCGCUUGGAGAGUACACAUACAAAAUAGAAUUCUGAUUUCAUUAAAAACAAAUGUUUAUUAUACCUUGACAGUUCUGUGCAAUGCAUUUAAUGAAUAAUACUCAAAACAAUGUGUAUAAUAGCAUAUGCUGUACAGAGUGCUCACAGUGAGGAAGUCACCAUCAUAAUACCUAUGCUGGGUCAUGUUAUUGACAGACAGAAGGGUUCACUUGUGCCUUGAAUCAGAACUUUCUUACUGCUUGCCAAAGCUUUGCUCUCUAAAGUGUGGGCUCCAGAAAAUUGGGAAAAUUCAUAAUUAUUGAUGUAUGUGAACAAGAGAUUGAUUCAGUGUAAGAAGUCCUUCAUGUUGGUGUGAUUCCCAGCUGAGUCUAUGGACAGAAAACAAGGCUGUGCAAUUCCAAGACUGCCCAGCAAGGAGCGCUCACUCCUUAAACAAACAUAGAUGAGAGGGUCCCAUUAAAACCCUCCUAAGGCAACCUCAGGUUAAUGUGUGGAUAUGGUUUAGUUUGAUUUACAAAGUCCCUUUCUUAUUAAAUUAAAACUUCGCUUUUUAACCACAUGAUAUUAGAUGGUUCGUCACCUGAAAGUAGUCUGUGUCAAGAGUAACUCUAAUCCAUGGAUGAAUUGUCAGCCAUUAUGAACUUUAGCUUACGCUAGCUAAAAUCCGAUUAAGUUCUUCUCGCUUAAAUUUUGUGUCACCCGUAAAAUGAACAGUCAGUGUCUAGUUUGAGAGACUUAUACUUUUCACAAUGUUUACACAUUAUUAACAUGCGCGAAAAAACAAAAUCAACUGGUUAGUCAGAUCUUUUAGCUCUCCUAAGGGGAGAAUUGUGCUGCUGCCAGUAUUCUGUUCUUAUCGUUGACCUACAAA